UACGGGGGGGGCAAGCGUUGUUCGGAAUUACUGGGCGUAAAGGGCUCGUAGGUGGCCAACUAAGUCAGACGUGAAAUCCCUCGGCUUAACCGGGGAACUGCGUCUGAUACUGGAUGGCUUGAGUUUGGGAGAGGGACGCGGAAUUCCAGGUGUAGCGGUGAAAUGCGUAGAUAUGUGGAGGAAUACCGAUGGCGAAGGCAGCCUCCUGGGCCAACACUGACGCUCAUGCACGAAAGCGUGGGGAGCAAACAGG
rnacentral:rRNA from 1 species